UAAAAUGAAGGUUUUUUUUUUUUCUGUUCUGCAAAUCCGAAACCCUCAAUUCUUGUGCAAAGAUGGCUUCAACAAUGCACAAGCUCCUCCAGAAACCCCUGCAGCAAGCCAUAUCUCCACACCUCAAACUUCACAACCCGCUCAAUUUGCUCCCUUCUCUUCUCCACCGCCGCCCAAAUCUCGAUCCUCCACCAGAAGUACACCACAAUUUCAACGCCGAAAAAUCCGCCGUGGGUAAUGGAUUCCAUGUUUUCCCCAGUUUCUCACUUGGGUUUUUCCUGGAUCCCAAAUUCUCAUCUGGGCUGCAUCAGAUUGAAUCGCCGCCGGCAGUAGCGGAGAAAUCGGGUUCCGAUGAAUCCGAGGAGGGUAUGUGGGCUGACAGUGUGAAGAAGAAGAGGAAGAAGAAGAUGAACAAGCAUAAGUUGAGGAAGCUCCGCAAACGCAUUCGCGGCUACGCUUAAUUUUGCAAAGGGACCCCCGAGCUUUUUUCUUGCAAGAUUUGUGAACUUGGACGAACUAAUGAACAGUAAUACCGAACAAUGAAAUGGGUCGAAAAGUGAGGUGUCUCAACCAAGACUUGCUAAUCAUUUAGAAAUAGCAUCCUACUUUAUAUUUGCGUUUGUUCACCCCCUAAUUUGUUUUUUCGCCCCCUUCGAUAUGAAUAAUAUCGAACCGUGAACAAAGAAAUGCAUGAGAGAAAAGUCUACUUGCGAACAUUUCUGGUCAGUUGAACUCGAUUUAAUGCUUAUGCCGAUUUGAUUUUUCAAAUGCUAAUAAAUAUUUUCUUGAGAUUUAUUUGCAAUUUGCAAAUACAUA